GCCGGGCGCAGUGGCUCACGCCUGUAAUCCCAGCACUUUGGGAGGCUGAGGUGGGCGGAUCACCUGAGGUCAGGAGUUCGAGACCAGCCUGACCAACAUGGUGAAACCCCAUCUCUA
rnacentral:sRNA from 1 species